UUGGCAGGGUUAGACAUCCUGUGGUCAGCUAGAAAUCAAGGAAUGGGUGGCGCUCACAGUAAUCUGUGCGUGGAUCACCACAUCCCUGCCGGUGAGUGAUCUCAUCUGACUAAAUCAGUGUCUUGGUAAGAGAUAUCUGCAGUCCUACAGUAUUAUUCAUGGAGGCAAGAGAUAAAAACAAUCUGUUUGUCCAUAACAGUGGGACUUCCAGAAGGCAGGAGAGAUAAGCCUGCAUGGUCUUUACAUGUCUAGUGACUGGUCAAUGGAAGCAUAGAGAUGGAUCCUGGGGAAAUUUCCUGGAGGAUUUUGAAGGAUGGGAAAGAUUUGCAUAAGUGGAGCGGAAGUGGAGGGUCAGUUCACCUUAGUCAGAAAAGUGUACAUAUGAGCACAAACACAGUAAUUUGAAAGGUUGUAACAGAGACUUUUGAGGCAGAGAUGGGCAGAAGUACAAGCUUGAGGUGCUAAGGAUCUUAUUUUCUCCUUAAAAGUACUCUAAUCUAGCUGAAAAGUGAGUAUGAUAUAUUUUUUCCUUUUAAUAAAUUCUGUCUCCAAUGGAAACGUAUUUAUCAAUUUAUUCAACAAGUACUUAUAAAGUACCUUCCCUCAUAUGACAAAUAGACAGGCUAUGUUCUCAACAAAGACAAGUACAAAGAAGUCAUUUAUAUAUAACUGUAAUUAGCAUAUUUCAUAAACUAAAAAUUUGAACACAGAACUGCCCCUGAAAAUCCAGGGAAGAUGGAUAGUAAUUGUAACAAAUAUGUAGGUAUAGGCAAGGACAGGAGGAUCCAUUUCCUUUGGGGAGAAGCAAAGGUGCAAAAGCCUUGCCCAUAGGUGAGAUGGAAAGAAACUUAAGACUGACAAUAUGGCACAAGGAAUACGCUAUGGGAAUCACCUCAUCUUAAAUUAAGAAUAUCAUCAUAGGAUGCCAAGUAAAACACAAGCACCUGUCAUAUAAUAGAAGAAAUGUUUACUGAAUAAAUGAGUAAAUGAAUCAAAGACAUUGGGACAGGUGUCCUUAUUUGGCAGUAAAUAUAAUGCUUGAUGGCACAAUAAACAGGCUUGUGGUUCCCACAUAUUAUUUAUUAUUUCCAAAGGCAAUC